rnacentral:tRNA from 1 species
AGGAGUGUGGCUUAGUGGAUAGAGCAUGGGCCUUGGAGUUCAAAGGACCUGGGUUCUAAUCCCAGUUCAGCCA